CCUAUUCUCUCUCCACAUUCUUAGCUAGCCAAACUCAUCAGCCGCCCCUCUUUCUUUCUUUCUCUGAUCUCUUCUUUCCUCUCCUCAUACCCUAUGUUUCUUUCCUUCAUACCACCAUUAUCUUCGCCAACUCCAUCUCCCCUCACCCAAAAAUAGCUAGAACCCAUUGUCCUUCCCUCACCAUCUCCGACCUCAACGAUCCUACCCGGGUCGUGAGGACCCACGUGCAAGUGUCCGAAUCACCCAGGCCCAUCUCGGCCUCCUUCGUGCGUGACCCCAAAUCCAGGUGACUCGAACCCAGACGCGACCCCAACUUAGCCCUCACCACCAUCUGACCACCCUUGCGCCACCUCACCUCGCCUGUUUUCACACCAAACCACGACCAGACCAGGAGUGAUUUCUGCCUCUCUUCUCUUCUUUUCACAUGUAUAUAUAUUUUACCCUAAUAGAGAUGGUUAAUGGCAACAAUGCCUUUGGGAAAACCAUUUGCUCAAUUUGCUACGAAGAUCUCAAGGCCAUUGUUGAAGAUCUUCAAGCUAUAUCCAUUUGCGGCCAUGUCUUCCACGAGCUAUGGUUUGUCUUGGAAUGACUAGGAAAGGACAACAAAGAGCUCAAACAGGAGUGGAGUCAUUGUAACUGAAGAGGAAGCACAAGUUGGAAUUGUUUGCCGAAUGCAGUCAUCUGACAAAAGCAAGUUUAAGGUUUGUGUAAUAUUUGGCGUUGAAUUUCAAAACAGACAAGACCUAGGGAGGCUGAAAAACAGGAAAAGUCUUCUACUCAUAUUCUAAAAUGGUAGUAGCUUGGUUUGGGUAAAAGAUUGGCCUUUGUUGAUAGCAUUCUGAGGCAUCAAUCUUUUAAAUUUUAGGACUUGUUGGAUUCACUUGUUAGAAGGCACAAAACAGAGAAGAGAAGAAUACAGUGAAGAGCAAUACACAGACGAACGAGAGAAAAUUCAGAUGAAACAACAGAAAAGUCGGAUUAGAAGAGAGAGCUUAAGUGUGGAAAUCAAGAUUUAGUAUUGAGAAAGUGUAACGCCUUGCUAAUUAGGGUCCAUUACCAGGUGUGUUUUGAAACCAGUGCUGGACUUACUAACAAGUCAUUUGGACUAAACACGUGAUUAACCACUAAGGUUUGGGUACUAAAAACUUUUGAUCAUUUCAAUAACACUUCCAUUAAGUUAAAGAUAAGUUCUUUACAUGGGAUCCCAAAAACAUUAGUUUAAAAGUCUGUUACAAAACUCAGAUACACAUUAAGUCGUCCUAAGCGGAAAAAGCUGGGCUAAACCCUAGUUCCUCUGAGCAUCUCGGCCAUGGUGGUCGAGUGGACUGCAUAUGUACAUACCACUGCUAAUACCCUCUGACUCAUGGUUGGUUGAGCUUCUCUUUACCUUUACCUGCACCACAAAGCACCUGUGAGCCAGAAGACUCAGCAAGAAAACUUAAUCAACAGUUCAGUGAAUAAAACAACCAUUAAACGGUAAUAACUGAAUCCAGUGCACUCAUUAAACCCAAUUGGAGACCAUAGAGUCACACAAGUGCAUGUCGCACUUCCUUUCAAGUUGUUGGCAUCCGAGCCAAUCAAGUGCAUGUUGCACUCCCGGUGUGGCCCAGCCAUGGUGGCCUGCACUCCACGUACAUUAUGCCAAUCUUAGCUUAUAAACUAAGUCCCUUAUACCCUUGACUUAUAAGUCAAGCCAUCACGUGCCUCCAACUUAUAAGUUGAAGCUUUGAGAUUCUUAACUAAUAAGAAUCUCCCAGAACCCAUCAAAUUCUCAACUAAUAAGUUGAUCUCCAUUUAACACCCUAGUGAUACCCUAGUUUAUAAACUAAGCCUCACAUUCAUACAAACAGUCUCAUGUUCCAUAUAGCCCACCUAACAGAUAAUCACACAAUGCAUUAUAAUACAUCCACUCAACAGUUAUAAGCAUAAUCAUAAUUAUGCACGUUACAGCAUACCUAAUCAGACAUUCACAACAUAAUCAUAAUCAUGUUCAUCACCUUAACUGCAUUCACAUAACAGGUGCAGUUUUCUUACCUUUGGUCCGUAUGCGGGUUACUAACGACAACCCUUCGAGCACGAUCCCCGAUUCAAGCCCUUAGCGAAAACCUAAUCACAACCGCGAUAAAGAAAUUCCCAUCAAUAACCGGUGAAUAACAACUUCCAGACCAACUCUUAGCCUCCGGGACAUCGAAUUCCACUUAACAAGGAAGUAGGAUCGAUCCUGAGCCCAAACGGCUAAGUUUCCAAUCUAAAAAUCCCAUUAUGGUCAAUUUUCCCCUUAAGAGCCGUGGCCCCUCCCAGCCGAGCCGCGACCCGCCUCUAAAACUAGAGGCGGCCUUCCUGGAAACCAACGCGCGCCGCGGCGUGCCCCUGAGGCGCUGCGGCCCGCCCCUGCAUCCGAGCCCUGCGAGCCUAAAAUCCCCUUCGCAGGCCGUGGCUCAUCACCACGAAGCCAGAAUUUUCUGGGUUUUUCUGCAACCGAACCUAACCAAAACUCACUAAAUUCCAUCCCAACCUUCCAAUUAAAUCCCCACAACCAAUAUACCUUUUACCAGCAAUCAAACUCAACUAAAUACUAAACUAAACUCAUCAAAAUCUCAAAACCCAAUUUCCCAAUUAACAAACAUGCAUAAACUCUAUAAUUCUAGAUACACCAACUGAAUUAACUUAAUAUCCCUCAACUAAAGAUCCUUACCUAAGCUAUAUGACUCCAGUAGCAAACCUCCUAGCAAACCCCCUGGUGUCAAGCCUUCCCUCCAAGAAAGACCCUUCAAGAUAAUCAAAUUCACAAAAAACCCAAGGGAAGAAGUGUAGUACGAGAAAGAGAAAGGAAGAGCUGCUGUGUUUCCUUUUUUCCCUGAAAUUCCUUAAACUUUUAAUGUAUAUCCCAACCAGCUAAAUUCCAAACCUAAGUGGAAAAUACCAAGUUACCCCUUACUCUUAGCUUAUACCUCAAAUAUUAAUAAGGGCAUUUUUGUCCUUUGCUUUAAAUCCCGCUAACCACGAUUUACAUCCUAUAAUUCCCGCUACUUCCAUUAUUCUCACACAAUUACCAAUAAUUUUCCAUUACCCACUAAUUCCUGGUAAUGUACUAAAUUACUAGAACACACCCCAAAUCGGGUAUUUAGACCUCGUUGUGACUUUUUCGCUAACUCGCUCAUCGGGACCGCCUCCUGUUGAGUAACCCAAAUAUAUCCACAUAAUAAUGUGGUCUCAAUCACACAAACACAUAUUCACGUUUACGCCCCUAACGGGUCAAAUUACCAACAUACCCUUCUUAUAAGAAACGGCCUCACAUACACAUAUUUAAUAUCUUUAAUAUACAAGCAUGAUUAUAUUAUAAUAUAAUUCACAUAUUAACUCAAUUAUUGCCUCCCGGCUCCCUAAUCCAGGCACUAAGCCCUAUUAGGAAAUUUGAGAUGUUACAGAAAGGUUGUGCGAGCUGGGUUUGGAAAACUAUAUUGAGAAGCACAACUGUUGGGAAAGUGCUUGCUCAAGGAUUGAGAGGAAAACACCUAUGUGAUUGAGUGUUUAAGGAGUUUGAUCCAAGAUUGUUCCGAGAAGCUCCAUUGAAGUCUUGUACUCAUAUCAUUGAUUGAAUAAAGAAGAGAUAGUGGUUCCUAAAACUGGAUUAGGUUCAAGAUCACAUUGAUCUUGUUCUGAACCAGUAUAUAUACUUGUGUUGAUUUAUGCUUUCAUAUUUUUUGUUUUCUAAUUUUUUGAUAAUUAGUCUUACUGAUUUGUGUUCUUAGAUUCAUCUCUGGUUUACCGAGGUUCAUCUGAGGUUCUUGAACUGGGAAAUUCAUUUCCAACAUUAUCAAAGCUCGGUUUCAGAUCAAAACAGGAGAAGAAAGUUCAAGAUCCUAGAGCUUCCGCAUUACAACUAAUACAGAACACAAGCUAGAAGACUAUGUCAACCAUGGGCAAGUUCGAGCUUGAGAAAUUUGAUGGUACAAAGGAUUUCUCAUUGUGGAGAGAAAGUCUUAAAUGAAUUUUGGUACACUAGAAAGUAGCCAAGAUUCUUGGAGAUCAGAAGUUGCUGGCUGAUAAGAAACCUGAAGAAAUAGCUGAGAUGGAAGAAAUGACCUAUUACACCAUAAUCAUGUACAUAUCAAAUGGAGUAUGAAGGAAAUUGACAUCAGAGACUACGACAAAGGGGUUAUGGGAUAAGAUGGAAAAAUUAUAUUUGAAGCCUUCUGUUUCUAACAAAAUUAAUUUACUUGAAAGGCUUUAUGGUUUUAGAAUAAAUCAUGUUAUGUCUUUAGAUGAAAACAUUGACAAAUUCAAUGAAAUCAUUGUAGGUUUGGCAAAUAUCGAGCACAAGGUGGAUGAGAAAAGCCAAGCAAUAAUCUUGUUGCACUCAUUACCAAUGGCAUACCAAGAAGUGAAAGCUACAAUAAAGUAUGGAAGAGAUAUCAUUUCACUAGAUGGAGUUCUUGGAGCAUUGAAGUCCAAAGACUUUGAACUUCAGUUGGAGAAAGAAUCCAAGAAGGAUGACGCUUACUUUGUUCGUGGAAGAUCAACAAAGAGAAGCUCUUCAAGAAGCCAUACACCAUUUCACUCACGUUCUAAAUAAAGAGGAAAAGAUUCAAGAACAUGUUAUCAUUGUGGGAAAAUUGGACAUAUCAAGAGAUUUUGCAAUUUGUUAAGAAAUCAACAAGGGUCCAGAUCAAACCAGGACCAAAAAAGUGUUAUAUUAUUUCAUAUAAUAUAAUGUUAGAUUAAAUAAUGUGACAAAAUGUGAUUUGUCACACCUAGUAACAUAUUAUUGAGAGUCACAAAAAUUAAACACAUGUGUGUGCUCAAAUAUGACAUAUUUUGGAGUUACAAAAUCAGUUACGAAUUUGUAACUCCCAAAUAUUACCCAAUAGUGUGUAUAUUAUAUGUUACACAUUUGAGAUUGGAUUUCACAAAGCUAUGAUGAAAUAUGGCUGUUGGAGACAUGUUUUUAAAUCCCAAUAGGUGUUUGGAGGUUACAAAAUCAUGUGGGAAAGGAUUUGGGACAUUUUGGAAAAAUGACUUUUUUGUGCUGAAAAAGGCCUGUGGCCGCGGCCACUGAAAAGUCCUAGCCGUGGCCAGUGAGACUGACAGCCUAUUUGGUUUUUCAGUUUUUUCCAAAUUGAACGGUUCUAAAAUCCCAAAUAACUCACAAAUCUCCAUUUUAAUUCCAUAAACAUCCAAUUAAACAUUGGUAACAACCAUGGGGUUGGUGGAAUUUGAAAUUCACAGGGGUAUCUCAAACUCUAUAAAUGGGAGCCUAAUGCUCACUUGUAAGAUACACCAUUUUCCAUCCACAAAGCACUUGGCUGGAAAAUACACCUUGAGGCUUGAUUAUUCCAGAAAGCAUUUCUAAAAAAUCUAUGAGAGAUCCCUUAGUGCUUGAGUUAGGGGGAAAUAAGCUUUUCGACAAAGGUUCUAAACAUUGUUCAAGUUGGUGAUCCCCAACCCUUUUCACUUAGGUUGUGUAAGUGAGAGUUCACUAUUAUUUUGUUCUUACAUUUUUUUUCUCUAUUGCUUUUUUUCUUAUUUUCAUUUUCUAUUUACUUGUAAACUUUUGUUUAGAGUUGUAAUCUUCUUUUCUUUUGUUUCAAACACCUUUCCUUUACUUGUAAUCUUUUGUUUAGAGUUGUAUCUUUCACCAUUCUCUUCUUCUCCUCCUUCUUCUUCCUUUUCCUUGUUUGUUUGUAUUUUCAGUUAUAGAGUUGUAACACUCUUUUUAACCAUCAUCUUGUCCAUUGUAUUUUUUGCAUAGAGUUGUAACAUUUCUUACCAUUUCCAUUGAAAUAAAAUAUAUUCUCUAACAAUCAAAAGUUUAAUUUCCUUUUUUCAAUGGAAGGUGAGACCAUCAAGAUCAUGAACCAAGACCUAGUCAGGUUUGAUGGAUCUAAUUUCACUAGGCGGCAAGACAAGGUGAAAUUCCUUUUGACAACACUCAAGAUAGCCUACAUCCUUGAGUCAUCCUUGGCACCUCUAGCCAAGCCAUCCAACAAAGACACUCCCAAGGAGGUGGAGAAAAGAAGAAAGAGAGAAGAGGACAACCUUCUUUGUAGGAGUUAUAUCCUUAAUUCCCUAUCCGAUAGGCUAUAUGACCUCUAUACCAAUACCAAACCCGCGAAUGAGAUUUGGGAUGCUUUGGAGAGUAAGUACAAGGCUGAGGAAGAAGGUACAAGAAAGUUCCUAAUUUCUCAAUAUUUUGAAUUUUCUUUCAUUGAUGGGAAUACUCUUUUACCUCAAAUUAUUGAGUUACAAGUGAUUGUAAACAAGUUGAAAGUUCUUAAGAUUGAGCUUCCCGAGGCCUUUCAAGUUGGUGCAAUAAUGGCAAAAUUACCACUAACUUGGAGGAGCUAUAGGAAAAGAGUUCUCCAUAAGAAUGAGAAUUACACUUUGGAAGAGAUCCAAAAACACAUUAGAAAUGAAGAGGAAUCGAGAAUAAGUGACAAGGGUGUGAAUGAGUCUAAAGAUGAGACUUCCAAGGCCAAUGCGGUUUCACGCAAGCAUCCAAAGGGCAACAACAACAACAAAAAGGGUAGUGGGAACCCUUUAGGUCCAAAGAAAGAUCAUGGACAAUUCAAAGAUGUGAGACGUCAUUGUUUUGUUUGUGGAAAACCCGGGCCCAAUGCUAGAGUAUGUAGGUACCGAAAUGACCCACAUUAGAAUGAGGUAAAUGCUAUAGAAAAGGAAGAAGAGAUCCUAGCAUGAUUACCAUGUUCAUGUUCCUUGUUGGGAAAAUUUUUAUUUUUUAAUAAAGUUUGUACUCUUGAAAGCUAUCAAUAAAAUUAAAGUAUUAUUCUA